rnacentral:tRNA from 1 species
GGUAAAGUGGCUGAUAAAAGCAAUAGACUGUAAAUCUAAGAAUAGGGGUUGAGUCCUCUUUUUACCAA